GUUUGAUCCUGGCUCAGAACGAACGCUGGCGGCAGGCCUAACACAUGCAAGUCGAACGCCCCGCAAGGGGAGUGGCAGACGGGUGAGUAACGCGUGGGAACAUACCCUUCGGUUCGGAAUAGCUCAGGGAAACUUGGAUUAAUACCGGAUACGUCCGUAAGGAGAAAGAUUUAUCGCCGAAGGAUUGGCCCGCGUCUGAUUAGCUUGUUGGUGAGGUAAUGGCUCACCAAGGCGACGAUCAGUAGCUGGUCUGAGAGGAUGACCAGCCACAUUGGGACUGAGACACGGCCCAAACUCCUACGGGAGGCAGCAGUGGGGAAUAUUGGACAAUGGGCGAAAGCCUGAUCCAGCCAUGCCGCGUGAGUGAUGAAGGCCUUAGGGUUGUAAAGCUCUUUUACCCGGGAAGAUAAUGACGGUACCGGGAGAAUAAGCCCCGGCUAACUUCGUGCCAGCAGCCGCGGUAAUACGAAGGGGGCUAGCGUUGUUCGGAAUUACUGGGCGUAAAGCGCACGUAGGCGGAUUUUUAAGUCAGGGGUGAAAUCCCGAGGCUCAACCUCGGAACUGCCUUUGAUACUGGGAAUCUUGAGUCCGGGAGAGGUGAGUGGAACUGCGAGUGUAGAGGUGAAAUUCGUAGAUAUUCGCAAGAACACCAGUGGCGAAGGCGGCUCACUGGCCCGGUACUGACGCUGAGGUGCGAAAGCGUGGGGAGCAAACAGGAUUAGAUACCCUGGUAGUCCACGCCGUAAACGAUGGAUGCUAGCCGUUAGACAGCUUGCUGUUUAGUGGCGCAGUUAACGCUUU
rnacentral:rRNA from 1 species